AUUUUAAAACAGUCUUUAGUCAUUCAUCAGAUUUACUAAAUUCACACUAUGUUCAAGGACCUUGGCUUGCUGUUGACACAGGGUUCACAGUGGCACUGUCCCUGGUCUUGAGGUGCUCACAGUCUGAAGGAGAGAUGUGUACAAAUAACUGUGCCCUGUGGUAAACACCAUCAGUGUCCAACUUAUUGAGAAAGUGUAGAGGAGAGAACAAAAAUGUCAGACUCUGCCUAGAGAGCUCAGG
rnacentral:lncRNA from 10 species